AAAGAGGUUUGUCAGGAAUCCGAGGUUGCAGAACAAUUGUCAUCCAAGUUCAAAAAAUCAUAGAACCAAAAGAUCUAACUGUAAUCAACUCUAAAUCAAUCAAGUAUUGAUUCUAAUCAGAUUCGCAAUGCAUCCUGGCCUCGAACCUUCGUUGUCGAGAAUGCAUUUCGACACGAGAAGCUCUCGCCUCAUCGGAUGCUAUUAAAAAGAGUUUCAAGCACUUACCUUGAUUGAAUCGGCGAAGAACAUGCCUUCGAAGAUGUCUUCAUUUAGCAAUGAAGAAACUGCUAUUUAACAUAAUAUAUAUAUUGAAAUAAGCGGAGAGUCGAAUUUUAUUUUGUUCUGUAAUCAAAAUAGAAAAAGGAAAUGGAACGCUUAGCUUUGAUUUUGCUUCGAGGACUACGGAACGUGAAGAACACCGAGUCAGAUUCUGGUAUAAGAGCUAUUCAGCACCGAUCUUCAAGCUCUGAUUUAUGACUUCCGCAGAUCAUGAUCACUCUUCUCUAAUCCUUUUUCUAGAUCAACACUCAGAGAUGAACACAUCGGUGCAUCGUAGUCGCUGGACUUUGCUGAAAAUACUGAUCGCCUGAUGAAGAAACGAUUGGACUUUGCUCGGGACUUCAUUCGACGUCGAUCUCCGAUUUUUGACUUACGAGACUCAUCAACGGACGCUAAUCAACGAAAUUGAAGAGAUCAACGUCAACAAAACCUGAUGUAAUCAGAGUCCAAGCACACCAAGUAUACGAGUAGAGAUUGAGAAGACUUAGCCGAAUCCAGAAUCUCAGCUUGUUCUGAUUUCAGUUGUGGAUAAUCUCCUUGGAUUAUGCAACGAAACUCGUGAAGAUCUCGAUUAUUCCCUUCGAUAAAAAACGAAAUCCGUUGCCUCUAUCGAAGGAUUGAGUGGACUAAAUCCACGAAGAGUCCAUGAAUGGAGAAUUUCUGCACAGAUUUGCAGAAGUUCACCCGUAACAUCCUGGGAGAGAGAGAAAUCGUGGAGAAUUUUCUUCUUCGCUUUUUG
rnacentral:lncRNA from 1 species